CCGGGGACAAUAGAAACACGUCAUGAUUGAAACAAGUCAAAUUUCUCGAAAACUAUAAUACCUACGCGUCUGACGCAACACUCCGCUAAACAAGUUUUUCGCAGUAAAAAGUAAGAACUUGCGCUCUCGUAUAUUUUCUUAUAACUUCGUUUACUCUUGUAUUUUGUACUAAUCUAAUUAUUUUGGUGUUCGAGUUAGGAAUAAACGAAUGUUUUUAAUGGCCAUUGAUCAGUGUUCGAGUCUUUUUUAUAUAUAAUAUUUGACCUUGAAGUGAAAAACGAGGUGUGGGGACGAUAGAAACAACUUGCUUGUGGACGAUUGAAACGUUUCAAUCGUCCUCGCGUUUUAAUCGUCCCCAAAAGUAGCCGACUUCAUAAUAUAAGAAGGUUCUGUAUUCGAUGCACAUGUUUGUUUUAUUGAUGUUCACUAUUA